GGCAGCAGUACGGAAUCUUUCCCCAAUGGACGCAAUUUUGACGGAGCAACGCCGCGUGAGUGAAGAAGGUUUUCGGAUGGUAAAACUCCGUUGUGAGGGAAGAAACCGUUCCAAGUAAAUACUGGUACCUUGACGGUACCUCCCCAGAAAGCCACGGCUAACUACGUGCCAGCAGCCGCGGUAAUACGUAGGUGGCAAGCGUUGUCCGGAAUUAUUGGGCGUAAAGCGCGCGCAGGCGGUCCUUUAAGUCUGAUGUGAAAGCCCACGGCUCAACCGUGGAGGGUCAUUGGAAACUGGAGGACUUGAGUGAAGAAGAGGAAAGUGGAAUUCCACGUGUAGCGGUGAUAUUUACAGAUGUGGAGGAACACCAGUGGCGAAGCGACUUUCUGGUCUGUAACUGACGCUGAAGGGGCAAAAAGACUUU
rnacentral:rRNA from 1 species